GACGAACGCUGGCGGCGUGCCUAAUACAUGCAAGUAGAACGCACAGUUUAUACCGUAGCUUGCUACACCAUAGACUGUGAGUUGCGAACGGGUGAGUAACGCGUAGGUAACCUGCCUGGUAGCGGGGGAUAACUAUUGGAAACGAUAGCUAAUACCGCAUAAUAUUAAUUAUUGCAUGAUAAUUGAUUGAAAGAUGCAACUGCAUCACUACCAGAUGGACCUGCGUUGUAUUAGCUAGUAGGUGAGGUAACGGCUCACCUAGGCGACGAUACAUAGCCGACCUGAGAGGGUGAUCGGCCACACUGGGACUGAGACACGGCCCAGACUCCUACGGGAGGCAGCAGUAGGGAAUCUUCGGCAAUGGACGAAAGUCUGACCGAGCAACGCCGCGUGAGUGAAGAAGGUUUUCGGAUCGUAAAGCUCUGUUGUAAGAGAAGAACGGGUGUGAGAGUGGAAAGUUCACACUGUGACGGUAUCUUACCAGAAAGGGACGGCGAACUACGU
rnacentral:rRNA from 1 species